CUUGGUAUAGUUUCCAAGAAACCAUGGCAUCAGUGGCAGCAUAUUGUAGGUUGUUCUUUUGAUAAAACAUCUGCUUCCCAGUUUCCAAGUCUGAUUCUGUUGGGCUUUCUAAGCUGUGAAGUUUCUUUUGAUAAAACAUCUGCUUCCCAGUUUCCAAGUCUGAUUCUGUUGGGCUUUCGAAGCUGUGAAGUUUCGGUAACUUAGAAAAACUACAUACCAAGAGAGGGAAAAUAGAAGACCAGAAGAGGUUGAAACAAAAAUGAGAAAACAAGAGGAGUGGUAGAGCAAGGAUAACUCCAUUGCUUUUGUAUAUCAAAGUAGAAAUAUAUUGAUCAAAGAAGAAGGUGCACGUAACAUUCAGAGAUCUAGAGAUUCUUUGAAACAACAACGAAGAAGAGAACUCCAAACUAAGGAAUACUCCAUUCUCUCUGAAUACCAGUCACUGAAACACUUCUGAAAGCCUGAAAGCAUCAUACUACAAGGAUGCAAGAAACACCAUGCCAUCCACUAACAACUUCUCAAUGAGAGAAUUAAAACUUGAAAGUUGUAGCAUUCUCCUCCAUCCAAACACACAUAUGGCCACACAAUCAGCACAGAACAAUAAAAUUCUGGUAAUUUUUCCUCCAAAUCCACUAUAGCAUAUUGGCAGCAAAUCCCGCAACCUACCAGGAACCACCUAAGACUCACAUCUGCUAGCUUGAGUCCUCUUUGUGCAAUGCUUCAGCAUAUCCAAGAUUUCCAUUUUCACAACCCUACUCCACAAAUACCAUCCAACUUGUCAAUGGAGAAACAAUUGGCUCACGGCCUCCACAGUUUUGGUAACUCAUAGAUCUGAUGUUAGGAGACAGAGCCUGAUGAUGACAACUCCAUUGUUCAUUACUAACCUUCGUAAUGAUGCAGAUAUGACAUGUGCUCGAUGUCCAAACUAAUAUAAGCACAUAAUUCUAAAACAAUUUGCAUCGAAAUGCACUAUAGAAGAACUUAAGAGCAGGACCAAAAUCUCACAGAAGUGAAUUCCCUUUUCUGGCCUUUUAAGAAUCUGAGGAACAAUCACUGUUGAAUUCAAAAAUUUAACCGUGAAUAGGAUCCGGCCAAUGCAAAUUGCCUUAACCUAUUAGCAUAAAUAUGUAUUCUAGACAGGGCACAAAAUCCUGUAGUUGUUAAACCUUCAGUGAUGCCUUGCAUGGAGUCUGCAUAAGAAAUACAAUCAAAGCGUUUCCUUUCUAUUUCAUUUUUUCUUCAUUAUGGCAAAGGCAACAAAAAGUUCUCCUAGAAAUGCAUAGGAUAUGUAUAUUCUGACCGGUCAAGGCAAGUUUGGAUUUAUUUCAAAAACAGGCUGGUCCAACAUUACCAUAGAACAAUGUGGGCACCAAUUUAUAUUCCCACUAUUUUUUUGAUACUGUUGACGGUCCAGUGACUUGAUAAAAUUGCAAAACAAACAUAAACAAUCAGGAAUAAGCUUUCGAAAAUGCAACUCAGAGAACCAAAUAGAUGUCCUUUACUCAGAAGGCAUCUCAGCAUGAUGUGAUAGAUACC
rnacentral:lncRNA from 1 species